AGGGAUGUAGCUCAAAUAGUAGAGCGCUCGCUUAGCAUCUGAGAGGUACUGGGAUCGACACCCCGCAUCUCCA
rnacentral:tRNA from 1 species